AUGCACGGGGGAAAAAGGGGCUGCAGGGUUUGGGGCAAUGGGGGCUGCAUGGGGGGAAAGGGUGCUUCAAGGAGGGGAAGGGCGAUGCAUGACGGGGGGAUAAAAGGGUGUUGGGGGCUGCAUGGAGAGGCAAUAGGUCGCUGCACGGGGGCAAAGUGUGCUGCAGGGAGGCAGAAGGGUGUAGGGACAGGAAGGGUUGCAAGGGCGUGCUACGGGCUGCACAGAGAGGAAGGGUGCUGCAGGGCAGGGGGGAAAUGGUGCAGGCAACAGGGUGCAGGGUGCUGUCGAAGGGGCAGAGGGCUGGAAAGAGGUAAAAGAAGCUGCAUGGGGGCAAUAGGGUACUGUGCAGGGGCAGUAGGUUGUUGUACGGGGCGGGCAGAAGGGCACAGAGCACACCCCGGGGGUAAGGCCAGCAGUCUGGGGGCUCCCACCUCCUGCAGCCGCCGGACCUGCGCCUCCAGCUCCUCCUUGCGCAGCUCCAGCGCCGCCCGCUCUCCCCGCAGCACCCGCAGCUGCUCCCGCAGCGCGCUCUUCUCCUCCCGUGCCUCCGAAAGUGCCCGCCGGGCCGCAUCCAGCAUCUCCUGCCGCGGGGACACACACGGUGACACGGAGCCCAGGGGGUCCCCGCGCACCCCCGGGGUGCCCGUGCCCACCUGCAGCAUCCGCCGGUCGAGCUCUCCGGCGGUCAGGGCGCUUUGGAGCUGCUGCAGGCGCUGCGGGGCCGAGCUGCCGUCGGUCAGCGGCGAGCCCUGGGCACGGUCCUUCGAGCUGCUCUCGGCCUCGGCCGCCAGCACCGCGCUCAGACGCUCCACCGAGAGCUGCAAGGUGCUGGCGCGCUGCUCGCUCUCCCCGAGCUGCACCCAGCGGGGUGGGAAACCGAUAAAAACCGACACAGCUCAGUGCAGGAGGCAAUUAAUGGGCACGGGGAUUGCAAGCCGGCCGUACCUGCCUCUGGAGCAGCUCAGCGCGGUCCUGCAGCACCCGCGCCUCCGCCUGCUGCUCGCCCAGGGCCAGCCGUGCCCGCUGCAGCUCGUCCUCCAGCGCCUGCCGCUGCUGCUCCAGCCGGGCUCCACGGCUCUCCGCAGCCUCCAGCCCCUCCUGGAGCCGCCGCUUGUCCUCCUCCAGCUUGGCCUCGCUGGCUUUCACCCUGCUCAUCUUCUCCUGGAAGGGAUGGAGCAGCGUGUGUGCAAGCUUGCAAGCAUUUUGUACACAAACCUGCGAGCAGCGAGCAUGCAAGCCUGCAUGCAAGUGCAAGCAGCAUUCGUGCCGUUUGUGUGCACGCUUGCAAGAGUCUUGAGUGCACUUUGUGUGCACGCUUGCAAGCAGCGUGUGUGCAGUCUGUGUGCGAGAUUGAAAGCAGUGUGCGUGCAGUUUGUUUGCAAGCAGCUUAUGUCCAUCUUACAUGCAAUUUGCAUGCAAACUUGCAAGCAGUUUGCGUACAGCUUGCACACAAGCUUGUGUGCGAGCUUCCAAGCAGCUUGCGGGCAGCUCGCACUCAGUUUGUGCGCCAGCACCUUGCAUGGAAGCUUGUGCGCAAGCUGGCAAGCGGCGUGCCUGGAGUUUGUGUGCAUCUUGCAUGCCAGGCUGCAUGCAGCUGGGGGGGUGGCAGAGGUGGGGGUUUUGACCCAGGUGCCCACCUGGGCGGAGCGGCGCUCGCCCUCGGCGGCGUGCAAGCUGCGCUCCAGCGCCGACACCUUCUCAAGCAGGGCCCGGCGCUCGCGCUCGCCCCGCCGCAGCGUCUCCUCCUGCAGCAGCAGAGCAGCCUGCGCGCUGCCCAGCUUGCCGUCGGCGCCCCGCCGCCCUGCCGCAGCCACACCGAGGGUUGCAAACCUCAGAUGGGGCUUGUGGGGCGCGCACGGGGAUCUGUUGGGGCUUGUGGGGCGUGCACGAGUGGGGUCGGACGGGUUUACCGGGGUUUGUGCAGGAUGCGUGGGGGUUUUACCUGUUCUACUGGGGUGCACGGGGGGGGGGUGUCCAAUUUUACUGGGCUUUACGGGGACUCUAUCCUUUAUUUUGUUAUGUUUUUUUAGUAGUUCUGCUAGUAUUUUGGGAUGUGUAUGGGAAAACCCACAAAGCAUGCAGCAUCUGAGUGCAGCAUUACCACCCCCGCCCCAUUUUCCCCCAAAGCACCCACUGGCCACAAUGCUCCGCCGCGUGCCCAAAUCCCAAGCAGCCACACGUCGCAGGGAGAGGAAACCUGCUUGCAGCACCCAAAACCGAGUAAUUUGGGAGAAUCCGCCCCAAAACCACCCCCAUCACCUUCCUCACUCUCAGCCACCAGCUUCUGCAGCUGCAGCGCCCGGGCACCGGCACCGUCCCGCUCCGCCUCCGCCUCUGCCAGCCGCUGUCCCAGGCUGCAGACCUGCACCCGCAGCUCCUCCUGGGGUGAGAAAACGGGGCGAGAAAGGAGCUUUUUGGGGACGUGCAGGGCAGGGGCAGGAGGAAGGCCAUACCCGCUCCCGCUGGGCGUCCUGCAGCUCACGCAGGAAAUCCCGCAGCGCUGCCCGCACCACCUCGGGCUCGGUGGCCGCAUCGGGGUCCGGGGACGAGCCAGGGGUCCCCGUCCCCUCCGUGGCACCGCCUGGAAGGAGAGGGAUGGGGUGGCACGGGGGGGGGGGGGACACGCCGCCAGAUGGGGCCUUAAAGCAAGGCUUAGGGUGCAAGGGCAGCCCCGGGGUGCUCUCACCCUUGCCCAGGGAAGCAGCACGGGCCCGGCCAAUGCCCAUGGUGCGGCGCAGGGCGGACUGGAGGCUGCCCAGGCGCGUCUCGGCAGCCCGGCGCUGCUCCUCGCCGCGGGCCAGCUCAGCCUCCAGCCCCUGCGCCCGGCCCUCGGCCGCGCUCAGGCGCAGGCUCAGCUCGGCCGCUUCGCUCCGCGCCGCCUCCAUCUUCAGCUGCAGGUUGCGGGCAUCGGCCAGCAGCUUCUUCUCAUGGCCGCGGGCCUCCUCCAGGCUGCGGGACAGAUCCUUCUCCCGCUGCUGGAACUCGCCCUCCGCCUCCGACAGCCUCUGCUGCAGGUGCUGGAGCUGGGGGAAGGAGGCAAGGGGUAGAGCCGGGGUGCGGGGCAGGGAGAGCCGGGGUGCUGGGGGCGUGGGGAGGGAACGGGGAACGCCCAGGGUGCAGGGGACAGAGCAAAAGGGUGCUGGAGAUGCAAGGGAUGGAGCGAUGGGGCACGGGGGGUGCCCAGGGAUGCAGGUGGCAGAUGAUGCGGGGUGA
ensembl:lncRNA